UCCUCUCCCAAAUCCAACCGGGAUCUCGAGGUAGUUGCCCACUCUCUCGCCACCCCCCACCCCCUCCCCCGUGCCGUCGGCCGGCCGCAUCCCCGCCGCGCGGCCUCGCCCCCACCCGCCGACGGAUCUCCGGAUCUGGGUGGCCUCGGCGCCCGCGGCCCCAACGCCACCUCCCCGCCCCACCCGCCGCUGCGCCGCGUCCCGCCGCGCUGGUGACCAGGCGUCGUCGGGCCCAGCCCUCGCCCCGCCGCCCUCGCAGGCGCCUCCCUCGCCUUCUGGGGUCGCCGCGCCGCCCUCGUCCCCUCGCCUCACCGCCCCUCUGGCCCUCGCCUCGCCGCGGCUGGACUGUGUCUGCAAGCUGAGCUGAGGCUCGACACGGUGUCGCUUUGGUUGGUUCUGUCUCGCUCGAAUCGCCUCGGCCUGUUAAAAAGCGCUCCAUAGCGCCUCCAAGCUCCAAGCCUCCAACGUACACGACCCUCAACAUCCGAUCGACCAGCGACGCUAGGUUGGAUCCAUCGACUCUCCGCAAAAGAAGGCACCACAACUGCAGUAAGCAAAGACAUAUCUGAUGCCUCAUAACAGCUAGCAGCUCAUAUCCCUAUGGGUAUGUGUCUAUAUAAGCAGAAUGGAUGGUACUACUGAACUGUUUUAGGUCUUUGAAUUAAGUAGUUUCAAUUCAACGUAAAAUAGAACAACAUACUGUACAUGUAACUGUAUUUGUAAACAUUCAAAAACUGGUCUGACAGAAAAGAUACAAGAUAUUAGUUCCCUGCAUACUAUAUGCCCUCAUGGUUUCAGAACAGCGCUUCGUUAAAAUAGCCAUGCUUGCAAAAGUUGAGAUCGCAAAAUUGCAUCAUGUGAAUGAGAAAAUAUGUGUGGGUCUUAGAAUCAUGUAGCAACUAGAAUAAAAGGUAAUAGUUUCAUCUCUCUCAAAGGUAGAACAUCGCAUUAAAUGGCCACAACUUUCGUCCAUAUAACAGGGCCCAGAUACAACAAUAGUCAAACUAAAAUUUUAUAUAGUUUCUAGUUCAACUAUACUCCCAGACACUAAGACAUGCCACGGCAUGACUGGAGCUUGAUCAAAUCUGUCUUUAUUAUUCUGCAAAUUCAGCAGUUUAUACAUCCCUUUGUUUCCAGACAAAUGAUUUGAUGUGAUGAUAUCUAUCCGAACAUCUUAUUUGUGGCUAAUUGGCUAUCAGAGUAGCAAAAUACGCUAAGAACGAUUUGCAUAUUUCCAUAGUUGCUACCUACAAAUUGUAUAAUAAGCACUAUAACUCAGGGGGAUCAACUAACAGAAACAAUCCAAUCAAAAGUUCUAAAUAAGGGAGUAAAAGUUGUGAAGUGCCUGUGUAACUCACCAUAAUCCUCUGUUCUUCUGAAUUGUGUUUUGUGUGGACCAGUUGCUUUAUCAUGCAUGGAAGCAUAAACCUUUUGAUAAGCCUUGUACAAUCUGCACACAUCAGGUUUUCUCAAAGACAGUUCACUAAUACAGAAGUAAAUAAUGUACUGUCACCAAUGUUUAAUACCUCUUCUGUUGCUUGGGAUUUCUUAUGGGCAAGGCAAACUCAGACGAUACAUAUUGGUCAAGAUAGACACUUUUGUAUAUAAAAUGCCAAAGUCCAGCUGGUCCACCAAUUGCCUCACCAGAAGACAAGGGUUGAGAAUUUAGGCCUUGAGAUGAGAAGCCUGUGCAUGAUGCUGACUAAAAUUGUUUUGGAAAUCUUAUAUUGAGACAUGGAUUGUGCUGGAGCAGGAGAAGCAAGGCCAGAAGCAAGAUUUGCUUUUUGAUACCUUUUGGCCGAUGACAUUCUUCGAAUCAAUUUCCCUUGUUGGAAGUCAAGGAAUCACAAAC